CACGCCCCACUUUUCUCCUCCUUUUAUAACAACGUCAAACGUCUUAUCCAAAAGAAAGGAUAAAGAUGAGUAAUUGCACAUUUGAAUUCAAAUUAAAUUUUGAAUUCAAAUGGACACCAACUCAUCCCUUAUCCACUAAAGGUGUGAGGCAUGGCUUAAAUUAUGCAUGGAGUAAUUUUAUGAGAAAUCUUUUAUCAUGUAAUAAAUGGGACAUAAAAAAAGGGAUAAGGUGCAAAGAUUGAUUGCCCAUUCAAAUUCAAACUUUAUUUUGAAUUUGAAUGGCCAACCAAUCAUCCUUAUCCAUUCAUUUGGCACAUUAAAGUGGGGCAUGGAGAGGGCUUGGCGUGAGGAAAUAAUUCAUGAGAAGUUCCUUCUCAUGAAUUCAAAUGGGUGCAAUGGANNNN
rnacentral:lncRNA from 1 species